AUUGAACGCUGGCGGCAGGCCUAACACAUGCAAGUCGAGCGGAGCGGCGGACGGGUGGGUGAGGCCUAGGAAGCGGCCUGGUAGUGGGGGAGAAAGUACGGCAAGGGGCGCUAAUACCGCAUACUAUCAGAUGAACCUAGGUCGGUUUAGCUAGUUGGUGGGGUAAAGGCCUACCAAGGCGACGAUCCGUAACUGGUCUGAGAGGAUGAUCAGUCACACUGGAACUGAGACACGGUCCAGACUCCUACGGGAGGCAGCAGUGGGGAAUAUUGGACAAUGGGCGAAAGCCUGAUCCAGCCAUGCCGCGUGUGUGAAGAAGGUCUUCGGAUUGUAAAGCACUUUAAGUUGGGAGGCGUUACCAACAGAAUAAGCACCGGCUAACUUCGUGCCAGCAGCCGCGGUAAUAC
rnacentral:rRNA from 1 species